ensembl:lncRNA LINC02682 long intergenic non-protein coding RNA 2682
AGUUCCGGCAGUUGCCGGACGCCAUGUUGGUGAAGCGCCGGGGCUGCUAAUGCUCCCUCCCCUCUUCCUCUUUGGCUCUCUCUCUCUCUUUUUCCAGACACCUUAAGGAAUUCAACAACCCCUCCCCUGCACACAGGCUUCUUCCAGAUGCCAUGUUGCAAGAUUUCCUCUGGAGAGGGCCUCUUGGCAAGGAACUGAUGUCUCUGGCCAGCAGCCAGCGAGGACCUAAGAUCUGUCAACAGCCAUGCAGAAGGGACAAUGAAUUGUGACUCGGAAAUUAAUCAGAUGAGACCUGAUGACUGAAGUACAUCACAGAGCUAGGAAGAGAGAUUACUAAGCAACACGGUGAGAGCUCCAUCCUCUGGGUAUUCAGCCAACUACAGAUCACUCAAAGGCAGACAUUCUGGGAUCUUCCAUCCAUCAAGCUGAACCAGAGUACAAGGCCAAAACCAGUGAAUGACAAAGCAACCCCAUGCCCAGCUUAAGAGUUUCCUCAGAGAGUUUGUCUUGUAGGAGUCAUUAGACACUAAUUUGAUUCUAUUUGCAUGUGCACACCCUGCCCUUUGCCAAACAGGGAGAGAAUCACACUUGAGAGCUAGCGCUCAGCUCAGUCUCUUCUCCACACCACGCUAGUGCACCAAGAACAAGGUUAUAGGUGUGGCAAAAAAACAAACCCUGCCAAUGCUCUAAGUAUAUGUUUGAUGUAAUCUUAUUUCUCAUAAAAUUAAGAGGAUAAUAUUUUUAGGUGAUGCAGAGUAUGAGACUGUCAUUAGGUUACUCUGAAUCUCUUUCUCUCUCUCUCUUCAUGGUAAAAAUUAAGUUCCAUUAGGAAAAUUCUUCCUCCCCUUCCUUCCUCCCAUUGGUCUUUCCUCCUAAGAUCCAGGUAGCUCUGAGAAAGUUUGUUUCAUCUAUGCGUUGGCCUGGGAAUCCUCCUCUUGUUAAUCUACACAAAUAAAAUCAUCUUAAAGAUCGAAAGCUUUUGUACAAAAAUGUCCUUCAUAGUGUUUUCUAUAUUAGCAAAAUGUUGUACAAAUAAUACAUAAUCUAACAUCUUAAAAAAGGGGAAAUGAUUAAAUAAAUUAUAGCACAAAAAUUCUGUGAGAUAUAUAGGCGAUGAUUAGAUGACAAUGUCAGGUCAGUUCAAUAAAUACAUGUUCAUUAGUUCCCAUAUGCCAGGCACUGAAAUAGGCAUCUGUCUUAUAUGUAUACAUAUGUAACAAACCUGCACGUUGUGCACAUGUACCCUAGAACUUAAAGUAUAAUUUAAAAAUAUAUAUAUAUAAAGAAAGAUAAACAAGAUAUGGACCCCUAAAGGAAACUCACUAUUUUCAGAUUGUAAGAGAAAACAUUUGGAUAUAUUAAAUUGUAAAAGAACAA